rnacentral:rRNA from 1 species
UACGUAGGGUGCAGGCGUUAAUCGGAAUUACUGGGCGUAAAGCGUGCGCAGGCGGCUCCUUAAGUCAGAUGUGAAAGCCCCGGGCUUAACCUGGGAACUGCGUUUGAAACUACAAGGCUAGAGUGUGGCAGAGGGGGGUGGAAUUCCACGUGUAGCAGUGAAAUGCGUAGAUAUGUGGAGGAACACCGAUGGCGAAGGCAGCCCCCUGGGUCAAGACUGACGCUCAUGCACGAAAGCGUGGGGAGCAAACAGG